GGGCACAUGGUGUAGUUGGUUAUCACGCUCGCUUAGCAUAUCUAUUCUUGUAAUGCGAGAGGUGUUGGGUUCAAUUCCCAAUGUGUCCA